rnacentral:rRNA from 1 species
ACUCCUACGGGAGGCAGCAGUGRGGAAUAUUGCACAAUGGGCGAAAGCCUGAUGCAGCAACGCCGCGUGAGGGACGAAGGCCUUCGGGUCGUAAACCUSUUUUCUGAGGGAAGAGACAGGASGGUACCUCGGGAAUAAGUCUCGGCUAACUACGUGCCAGCAGCCGCGGKAAAACGUASGAGGCGAGCGUUAUCCGGAUUUACUGGGCGUAAAGCGCGCGUAGGCGGMUCGGCAAGUUGGGCGUUAAAGCUCCUGGCUUAACUGGGAGAGGUCGUUCGAAACUGCUGGGCUUGAGGUUGGGAGAGGGGUGUGGAAUUCCCGGUGUAGUGGUGGAAUGCGUAGAUAUCGGGAGGAACACCAGUGGCGAAGGCGGCACCCUGGSCCACACCUGACGCUGAGGUGCGAAAGCGUGGGUAGCAAACAGGAUUAGAUACCCUGGUAGUCCACGCUGUAAACGAUGUCAACUAGGUGUUGGUAGUGUUACACUAUCAGUGCCGAAGCAAACGCGUUAAGUUGACCGCCUGGGGACUACGGCCGCAAGGCUAAAACUCAAAGGAAUUGACGG